ACGAACGCUGGCGGCGUGCUUAACACAUGCAAGUCGAACGAGAGGAGAAGGAAGCUUGCUUCUUCAAAUCUAGUGGCAAACGGGUGAGUAACACGUAAACAACCUGCCUUCAGGAUGGGGACAACAGACGGAAACGACUGCUAAUACCGAAUACGUUCCUUAGGUCGCAUGACUUUAGGAAGAAAGGGUGGCCUCUACUUGUAAGCUAUCGCCUGAAGAGGGGUUUGCGUCUGAUUAGGUAGUUGGUGAGGUAACGGCCCACCAAGCCGACGAUCAGUAGCCGGUCUGAGAGGAUGAACGGCCACACUGGAACUGAGACACGGUCCAGACUCCUACGGGAGGCAGCAGUGGGGAAUCUUCCGCAAUGGGCGAAAGCCUGACGGAGCAACGCCGCGUGAGUGAUGACGGCCUUCGGGUUGUAAAACUCUGUGAUCGGGGACGAACGGUCAGCAGACGAAUACUCUGCUGAAGUGACGGUACCCGAAUAGCAAGCCACGGCUAACUACGUG
rnacentral:rRNA from 1 species